GACGAACGCUGGCGGCGUGCCUAAUACAUGCAAGUUGAGCGCUGAAGGUUGGUACUUGUACCGACUGGAUGAGCAGCGAACGGGUGAGUAACGCGUGGGGAAUCUGCCUUUGAGCGGGGGAUAACAUUUGGAAACGAAUGCUAAUACCGCAUAAAAACUUUAAACACAAGUUUUAAGUUUGAAAGAUGCAAUUGCAUCACUCAAAGAUGAUCCCGCGUUGUAUUAGCUAGUUGGUGAGGUAAAGGCUCACCAAGGCGAUGAUACAUAGCCGACCUGAGAGGGUGAUCGGCCACAUUGGGACUGAGACACGGCCCAAACUCCUACGGGAGGCAGCAGUAGGGAAUCUUCGGCAAUGGACGAAAGUCUGACCGAGCAACGCCGCGUGAGUGAAGAAGGUUUUCGGAUCGUAAAACUCUGUUGGUAGAGAAGAACGUUGGUGAGAGUGGAAAGCUCAUCAAGUGACGGUAACUACCCAGAAAGGGACGGCUAACUACGUG
rnacentral:rRNA from 1 species